rnacentral:rRNA from 1 species
UACGAAGGGGGCUAGCGUUGCUCGGAAUCACUGGGCGUAAAGGGCGCGUAGGCGGCCGAUCAAGUCAGGGGUGAAAGCCUGUGGCUCAACCACAGAAUUGCCUUUGAUACUGUUCGGCUCGAGACCGGAAGAGGUAAGUGGAACUGCGAGUGUAGAGGUGAAAUUCGUAGAUAUUCGUAAGAACACCAGUGGCGAAGGCGGCUCACUGGCCCGAUACUGACGCUGAGGCACGAAAGCGUGGGGAGCGAACCGG